rnacentral:rRNA from 1 species
ACCUGCAGCCACACCGCCCAGAAUGUGCCUGCUCUCAUCUGAUCUCUGAGGCUAAGUGGCGCUGGGCCUGGUUAGUACGUGGAAAGGAGCAAAGACAGAUUGCCGAGUU